rnacentral:rRNA from 1 species
UACGGGGGGGGCAAGCGUUGUUCGGAAUUACUGGGCGUAAAGGGCUCGUAGGUGGCCAACUAAGUCAGACGUGAAAUCCCUCGGCUUAACCGGGGAACUGCGUCUGAUACUGGAUGGCUUGAGUUUGGGAGAGGGAUGCGGAAUUCCAGGUGUAGCGGUGAAAUGCGUAGAUAUCGAGAGGAACACCUGAGGUGAAGACGGGUUGCUGGGCCGACACUGACGCUGACAGCGCGAAAGCCAGGGGAGCAAACGGG